AAAAAAAAGAAAUGGAAGGGGGAAGUGCUUUAAAACCCAGGCCUUUACUAGCUAGCGUUUUCAACACGUUUGUCUUUGGGAGCAGAGCUGCCUAACUAAACAAAGAAAGUUCAGUUCUUGCUAGUAGAAAAAGGCUAGGCGGCAUGAUAAUACAGUGAUUUAAAAAGUUGAUUAUCUUGAAGUAUUUUGGGACAGUUUUGGGGAAUAGGUUGUAUGUCAAACUGUGGUAUUUAUUUAUUUGGCUCUUUGCUGAAUAUGCUUGUAUAAAUCCAGCCUCCUGGAUGUUACAAGGCAUCCCAUUGAUUUCUUCUUUCGAAUAAAAAAGGAGCAUUGCUUCAUUUUUCUUGCAGAAACCCUUAUUUAAACAAUGAAAACUUCAAAGAUAGGGAGAAAAAAACCAAGUUAAUUUAGUACUAAAUUACUGCUCAAAUGGUUUUAUCUUUUAAAAGGUUCAAGUAGAGAUUAGCUUAAAUAACACUGAAUUUCACUUUUCCUUGUGCAUACAUAUCUUGUGAGCAAACUUCAUUGUGAAGAGCCCUCUAUCUUCUUUAGUUUUGUUAGUAAUCACAUAAUUGCUAGUUGCUGUUUAUUUCCCUUUCCUGAAGCAAAUCUCUCCAUCUCUGGGCCAGGUUUGCAAGGGUAAUACCCAGUUAAGGUUACAGGAUAGUAAAACCAAGUACUUUAAUCAAACUGCUUACUUUACAAGAUGGCAAAAAUAAAAUAAAAUAAUAUAUAUGAACACUCUUAAGUAGGAAGUAUUUUCUACCUAUUUACCUGUCUCUGUUUAUCAAUCACUUUUAUUAAAACAGCAAUACCUAGAGGUGGGUGUUAUAUCUCUGGCUACAGCUAAUAAUAAUAACUUGUGUAAAUCUUACACAUGUUAGGGAAUACUGAAAAAAAUACUGUGUAAAAAGGAUUAAUUCAGGAUGUACUCAGUCAUCUCUAAGGUGAAACUGAAGAGUACUGUGACAGCAAGAUCCCACCUGGAGUUGAAUGUUUUUUUGAUAAGUGAAUGGAAUUAUCUUGUAAUCUUGGAGAAACUGACAAUGAUUAUAAUCUCUAAUUGCUGGGUCUUCUAACACAGAAAGGACAUUACUGUUUUAUGCAGUUUUCUAUAUUUUAUAUACUAUGUUUAAUAAAGAAAUGGUGUUUCUGUAGCUAACCCGUAAGACAUUUGGUAGAAAAAUGAACAUUUAAAAAUGACUUUAAAAUUGAGUAUCUGCUUUUAUAUCAGGCACUGUGUUAGGUUCAUCUUUGUCUUUCAGAAGGUUCUAGUCUAUUUUUCCCUCAACCUUUAUUUCAAAAAAUUUCAAAACCACAGGUAACUUGAAAGAAGAGUACAAUGAAUACUUGUAUUUACUUUACCUAAAUCCAUCAACUGUUAACAUUUUCCCCAUUUGCUUUCUCUCUCUCUCUUCUACAUAAUGUAUACACCCAUACUCAUCUUUUUUCUUCCCUAAGCCACAUGAAAGCAGAUUGCAUCAUGAUGAAUACUUCAGCAUGUAGCUCCUAAGAAUAAAGACAUUUUCCUGGGCACACGCAAUACCAUUAUUACAUUAAAAUUAUCUAGUCCAUGUUCAAAUUUCCCCAAUUACUUUGUUCUCUCUGCUGCAGAAUCUAUCAGAGAUCACACACUGCAUAUGGUCUCUAGUCUCUUUUAAUCUAGAACCAUUACCCUGCUUGCCACCUGUUUUUUCUUUAAGGAGUUUUUAAGGGGUGUCUUUUAUGGCAUUGACAUUUUGAUGAAUCCACCUGCUGUUUUGUAGAAUGUUCUGCAGUUCUACAAAUUGUUUGAUCAUUUCCUCAUGGUUCAGUUCAGAUUAAACAUCUUUUGCAAGAACCCUGCAUAGCUGAUACUGCCAACUUUCUUGUAACACUGCCUCAAGAGGGACAUAAUAUCAGGUUGCCCUAUUACUAGUUUGAUCCCUUGGUUCAAGAUAUACAUUUAGUUACUGAAUGUAGGUGAAUUUAUAGAGUUCUCCAUAUUUGUCCUUUUAUAAUUAAUGAGUAACGUUGUGCAUACAUAUCUUGUGAACAAACUGCAUUGUGAAGAGCCCUCUGUCUUCUUUAGUUUCAAGCCUGAAGAUCUUGUUCUGUAAUGGCGCUUUACUUAAUGGAUUGAGGAGCAUUGAUAAACCUGUCUGAAUCAAAUAUGUCAGUGGUUACAAAACUGUGAUUUUCUAAUUCUCUAAUUCCUCUACUUGGGUAGAGGCAUUUCUGAAUAAAGAGGAGCUUGCCUUCCCUA